GCUUAUCUUUGGCAGACAUUAUUUUUUGAUUCACCUGAUUUUGUUGAGCUGCAACACUCUCACUUGAUACCCAUGUUGAUACUGUUACAAAUUCAUUUGUUGUAAUUACACAGCUGGAAUCGGUCCUCCAUCUCUGACAUCUAUUUUUUUCCCUCUCUGCAGCAGAUUUUUAAUCCUCACUGCAGACAACAGUGGCAGCAGGAACACUUUCACUUGUGUGAAACAGUCUAUUAAUUGAAAGCUACAUAUAUUGCAUUUUCUUGUUGUUUAAAAAAAAAAAGUGGAAAAAACAUUCAUACACACAUGUCAUCAAGACAAUGCUAACCUACAUAUUGCAUCUAUUACAACAGCAUGGCUUCAGAGUAGAUGAAUGUGGGUGCUGAACUGGCUUGCCCAUGGUAUAGCCUUUCACUAAUUGAAAACACUCGGCAUAUCAUAAAACUAAAAAUAUGACAAAGAACCAAGACUGUUGUGGAGCUAGAACCCUAUAUAAAACAAAAAUAAGAUAUUUCUCUUCUAAAAGUCCAGCAACUGAUCGUCUCAAUUCCCAAAACAUUUAUAAAAUGAACUUUAUGUGUAAGCUCAACAAGGGCCAUUGCAGCAGGCUUUACAUCACUUCCACUUUCCCACACUGUCAAGCUCAUUGCUGACAUCACUUGUCUAGUCCAGUCAUCUUUCUCCCUGCUUUUCUGCCUCAACUUUGUGUGCUUCAAAUCUCACAGCACAUCUGUUAUUCUCCCUUGCAGACACCUUUGUGCAACCCACCUCCUCCCCAUCUCCACCUCUCCCAUGUUACUCUCCUUCAUUUCCUUAUUGAACUGUUGUUAAAAAGAAGGGAUGCUAAAAUUAAUGGUAAACAUGGCCCUGUCCCAACUUUAUUUGAUAAUUUUUUGUGCUGCCAUCAAAUUCAAAAUGACCUUUUUUUUUGGUUUUUUUCUUAAAAUAAUACAUUCAGACCAACACGGUGAUAUGGUGGUUAGUGCUGUUGCCUUAGAGCAAAAAGGUAGUAGCAAGAACGGAUUUGAAUCCACACAAUUUUCUGUGUGGUGUUUACAUGUUCUCCCCAAGUCUGCGUGGGUUCUCUUCAUGAACAAGGCUUCUUCAGUCCAAAGACAUGCAGUUAGUGGGGUUAGAUUAAUUCAGUGGUUCCCAAACUUUUUUUGCUAGGCCCCUCUUUGUUUUACAAGAAAAUCGUUGCGUGCACCCCCUCCCGCACAAACACAUCCUCCAACCACACACACCCAUAUUUUGUUUUCAAACUCCAUUGGAGUUUAUUCCACACCUCAAACCUUUUGUAAACAAAUACAACUGCAAUAAAUUACAGGUUGCAAUUAAAUAAACCACUCGCUUUAAAAAAAACAACAAAAAAAACAGAAAAACAAACCAUCUUUAAUUAUUUUUUGGAGAUUAUGUAUCGGAAUUUUAGGAGCAACCAUGCCUCCAAACACGCUCCUUCCGGUUGUCAUCUAUAUAGGUUCCCCCAGUUCUUCAAGCUGUUCAUUCUCGUUUACGUGCCCCACCCUCCCUCCCUCCUUGUUUUAAAUUCUUUAACUUCUUGACUCCUAUUUAGUACAUGGGGAUCUGCCAGGCCCGGGAGCCGUUGCCAGUCCCCUUCGAGGCCUUCCCCAAACCACAGCUCAAUUCAUGUCCAAGCAUUCACCUUUACCUACUAAAAUGCUAUCAAACCUAAAAAAAAAAAUUUGGGGGGGGGGAGGUUCAACACUGCUAUCAGUACAUUUUUCAAAAAAUGUCUCUCUGUGCAAAAUGGGUGUAAAAACAUAAACAACUGUGGGAUACUGUGGCAGGAUCAGUGUUGUACCAAGAUAGGUGUUGCAAGCAUUCGCUGGGCACAGAGUGCAGAUCCAGUUUACUCCACCUCCAUUACAGUUACAAUUAGACGUGGAAGGAGUGAUGUUUUAGUUUUGUGAAAAAGUGAAAAAUAAGUGUUGUUACAUUUCCAUUCAGUUUGAGGGUUACAACGGAAAAUUGGCAUGACAGCUGUUGUGCAGGUGAAGAACAAAGGCAAGAUAUGCUUC
ensembl:lncRNA